rnacentral:rRNA from 12 species
CACCAGGUUGAUUCUGCCUGACGUGGACGCUUGCCUUAAGGAUUAAGCCAUGCAAGCCAGCGAAUUUUAUAUGGAGCGGCGUACGGCUCAGUAGGACAGGACUUAUCUGGUCAUGAUGCGGGAUAACCACGGAAACCUGUGGCUAAUACGGAGAAUGAGUGAGGGCCUGGCCUAUCAGCUUGUCGGUAAGGUAAAGGCUUACCGGGGCGAUUACGGGUAACGAGGAAUCGGGGUUUGAUUUGGAGAAGGAGCCUGAGAGAUGGCUGCUACGUCUAAGGAUGGCAGCAGGCGCGAAACUUGCCCACUCGGAGGACCGGAGGCAGUGACGGGGCGUGAUUUUAUUAUGAUGAGGGCGCUGCAAACAUGCGCCCGAAAGCAACUGGAGGGCAAGUCUGGUGCCAGCAGCCGCGGUAAUACCAGCUCCAGGAGCGUCUGUGUGUAUUGCUGCGGUUAAAGGGCGCGUAGUCGGGCGUAAGGCCAACGAUAAAUACCCAGGUUCCGCCUGGGACUGACGUUGGAACCGGAGCCUUGGGACCGGAGUAGGGCAAUGGUAUUCGGGGGCGAGGGGUGAAAACCGAUGACCCUCCGAGGAGCGACAGAGGCGAAAGCGGUUGUCCACUACGGGUCCGACGAUCAAGCGCGUAGGCAGGAGUAUCGAAGGCGAUUAGACACCGUCGUAGUUUCUGCAGUAAACGAUGCCAACAGGGGAGAGCGGGCCAGCUCUCCCUGAGGGAAACCGAGUGUAUGGGCCCCGGGGAUAGUAUAGGCGCAAGCUGGAAACUUGAAGAAAUUGACGGAAGGACACCACAAGGAGUGGAGUGUGCGGGUUAAUUUGACUCAACGCGGGAAAGCUUACCGGGGCAGGCGGCGGCCGGAGACCAGGCGGUCUAUGGAGCGGCAUGGGAGGCUGCCGCGCGUGGUGCAUGGCCGUUUUUAACACGUGGGGUGACUUGUCUGGUCAAGUCUGAUAACGCGUGAGACCUAGGGCUGCGGCGACGGCACCUGUAAGGGUGAGGAGGCACUAGUCGAUAACAGGUCUGUGAUGCCCGUAGAUGUCCCGGGCUCCACGCGCACUACAUUAGGGGAGGGUCUGUGAAACUGCGCUCCCCUGCGGUUGGGAUUGACGCUUGUAAAUGCGUCAUGAACACGGAAUUCCUAGUAGCGUGGUGUCAUCAACACCAGGCGAAUGGGUCCCUGUUCUUUGUACACACCGCCCGUCGUUAUCUAAGAUGGGUGUGUAAAUGAAGCUAGUCACCUAGAAGAAUUUGCACGCCUAAAUCGGAUACAAGUCGUAACAAGGUUGCUGUAGGUGAACCAGCAGCAGGAUCAUAA